AGAGAAAGAAAGAAAGAAAGAAAGAAAGAAAGAAAGAAAGAAAGAAAGAAAGAAAGAAAGAAAGAAAGAAAGAAAGAAAGAAAGAAAGAAAGAAAGAAAGAAAGAAAGAAAGAAAGAAAGAAAGAAAGAAAGGCAAUGCAUGUAGUCCUUGAGUGGAGUAGAUGAGAAUUGAAGGUAAAUGGGUAGAGCCCAGAGAUUUGGCCAUGGAGGGGUCAGUUCUACAGGGACAGCUCCUGGACUCCAAACAGCCACAGAAAGUGAUCCUUGCCUUGUGAUCAGAACUGGUUUCGUGUGGCUCACGUUCCUGGGCCACCUCCCCGUGCCCUGGGAGCAGGACAGGCCCCGGGCACCAGAGGAGGAACAAAGGCCAAGCUCAGCCCUGUUUGCUCACUCCACGCACUGUUGUCUUCCAUCAGAUAAGCCCCUGGCCAGAGGAUGGAAUAUUUCCAGAUCCAAAUCAGCCAGAAAAGAAGUGAGUCUGCAGACAAACAGCAGAGCUCUCGAGUUUCAUCUGUCUGAGGAAUGUUCCUGUCAUAUGAUGGGGACCAGGCUGCCAUUCCCAGGCACUGGGAGCCUUCUGGUUCCAUCCUGCUCCAGGCUGCCUCUUGCUGCAGGUGGAUUUUCCUGCAGCAGGAUUUUACCCAUGAAACAGCACAAGCAAGGGAAACAGCAAGGGAAGUUUCGGUUGGAUGUUAGGAAAAAGUUUUUUUAUUGAAAGGGUGAUAAAAUUCUGGAAUGUUCUGCCCGGGGAGGUGGUGCAGUCACCAUCCCUGGGUGUGUUUAACAAAGCCUGGAUGUGGCACUGGGUGCCAGGGUUGAGUUGAGGUGCUGGGGCUGGGUUGGACUCGAUGAUCUUGAGGGUCUCUUCAGCCUGGUGAUUCUGUGAUUGUGAUUCUGAUUCUGUGAAACUGGCAAAGGGGGAUGAAGGAAUCAGGUGCUGGGAGGAAAAGCUACCCCUGCCCUGUCGUGGCUGGGUUGUGGCUCUGGCACUGCCAUGACAGGAGAUGUGGGAGGGCUACAGGUGACAGGAGCCAGCCCUAGGGGGACACUCUGGGGGCUGGAGACUGGCAGGUGACAAAAUCCUCUGGUGGCUCUCCACAGCCACAUGCCCAGAGAGGAGUAGGAGGUUAUUCCAUUGGCCUGCCCUGUCAGAGAAUCAAAAACUUUCCAGCUUUUGCCUUUCUUUUGCUUUCUAAGCUGGAACAAAGCCAAGAUUUAAUGGAUGUCAUUCAGCCAAAAUAUAUUUACCAGCUCUUCCUGCUUUCCCUGUGACUUUUGGCCAGUUGGAGUAUUUUAAUUGGAGGCAAAGCAAAGACUACUUUAAAGUGCUGUGGGUACAGGAGCAGCUUUUAACCAGCCUGUCCAAAGAGUGCCUGUGCUGAGAGCCAGCCCAAGUGUGCACAGGGGCAUUCCAAAGAAAAUCUCCUCCCCAAUUAUUACCUGCAGAAGGCAAAAUUCUGAAAAUUAAAUAGAGUAAAACAAACUUUUAAAAGCAUUUAAUUGAAUUUGGCCAGUUCUACAGAAUACCACAUUUAUUACCUGGCUGCUUUUGAGCUGCAAAUCCAUUUUUUCCUGUUAUUUUUGCCGUUUCAUUGGAGAAAACAAUGAACACCAUUUUCACAGGGCAGAGUUAAUGAAGGAUUUCAAAGGCAGUGUACAGCAGGAAUUUCACUCCAGCUUCACACAUCUCAGCAGCACUGCAGGAGAUAUUCCAUGUGCUCCAUGACAGGAAUUCCAAGAUAUUUUGAACAGUGCUCCAGACUCCAACUUCCCUUUCACAGAGGGCUGUGUUCACCAUGGACCAGGACAAGGUGAAAGAGAGGGAAAGCCCAGGGGGAGAGCUGAAGUGAUGGCAGAGAGUGAACAAAGCCAGGCCCCCGCUCUCCACAGCUGCAAACAUUUUUAUAAAGUGUUUAAGAUAAGGAUUGAUUGCGGCCCGCGCUGUGGGCUGAGCUGUGCCAGGUCUCACGUUGCUGACUAAUUCCCCUCGCUGGUUCCAAGCCACUGACUCCAGAUUUGCGUCAUCAAAGGCGCUGAGUCCGAACAAGCGCGGCGGAAUCGCGGCUGAAGCGUUCCCUGGAGGAGCCCGGACAGAAAAUUCCUGUCCAGGCCUGGGAACCAAGGACACCUCACUGCCCCAAGUGCCAGAAAUGGAAACAAAAGUGAGCUGGGGGCAGCAAACUUGGGGUCAAUGACUUCAUGACCUGAAGCUGUAAUUGGAACAUUAAACCCCAAUAUGCAAAUGGAUGAAAUUUGUAAAAGUGUGAAAACCCGUGAGUCCAUUUUGGGUGUAGCCCCUGGGGGGCUUUGUCUGCCCUAAAUGUACCUGAAGAUCCUUCAAUAAAUAGAAAUGGUUUUAUUCUCUUAUUUUUGUCUGGCCUCUGGUUUUAGGCAGUCCCAAAAGGCAUCACCAAGCUCCUGUCCCCUGGCAGUGACAGCGCCCAGAGCUGAGCAGGGACAGCUGAUGGCACAGAAGUCGCUUCCCAACUUCCCAGGUGCUCCCAGUUUCUCAUUACCCAGGGGGACCUGAAGCCCCCUGGAAAGGUCUCUCCUCCCGGGGUAUUUCAGGCACGGAGAGAGGGAUUCAUUGGCUGAGGGAAAACUUUAGAUCAUUCCAUAGCAGUGUAAGGCUUCAGCAGAGAAAGUUGAAUUUCCAGACUUCAGUGGUUUUGUGGAGAGUGGGUUUAGCUUAAAACAUAAAAUCUUGGAUUCCUGGAAUGGUUUGGGUUGGAAGGUGUUGGAACCCUGGUUACUGAGAAUUUCAGACUUUCUGUGCUGACAGGCACUGACCCCCAAGAGAACUCUGCAUUGACCUGAGGCCAUGGGGAAGGCUUCCAAAAUGGAAUGAUAGAACUGGGAUUGUGGGUGUGGAGUUUGGAUAGAAGUGUGCGACAUCAUCUGGUGGAAAACUAAGAAUUUAAAGUUUUAGAAUAUAGUAAUGUAUAUAAAGCAAGAUAGAGGUUUUAGGAUGAAGGCUGGUCCUUCUUCUUCACCUUCUUCUCCUUCUUCUCAUCCUUCUUAACCUUCUUCUUCACCUUCUUCUUCUCCUUCUUCUCCAUGUUUUUUGUGUGGUUUUGUGUGAUUGGAUAAAAAAGUCCCCAUUUCAGGCACGGUUGGUUGGUUAUUGGGCUAAAAGUAAAAAUAACUUAGGUGUCAUUUCUUAAUUGGAUAUUUUAUCAUUAAAAUGCCUUGCAGAGAGAGAUGGGCUCCAUUUUUAGUUUUUUAGAGGGAAGUGCUGCAGAACUCAGGGUUUGUGAGACUGUGACAGAGAUAAGAACUAAUAAAUAUCCGAGUCCCAACAAGAAAAUCCAUCCUGUGAUUGAAUCCUGAUCUUGGCAGAGAAAAGAAGCAAAAGAAUCAACAGGAAGGGACCUUAAAUCUCAUCCCACUCCUCCCCUCCAUGUGCAGAGACACCUCCCCUGUCCCAGGGCGCUCCAAGCCUUGGGCACCUGCAGGGAUGCAGGAGCAGCUCCUGUGGGAAAGGCCCAUAAAUCAGAGAUAAAGGCGA